UAGCUCAUUACAACAGCCACCGUUUACUAGAAUAUAGUUAUCCUACUUGGAUAACUGUGGCAAUUCUAGAGCUAAUACAUGCAAUAAAGCUCCGCCCGCAAGGAACGAGCGCAUUUAUUAGAAUAAAAACCAAUCGGGUUUCGGCCCGUAAUUUGGUGAAUCUGAAUAACUUUGCCAAUCGCACAGUCCUAGUACUGGCGAUGUAUCUUUCAAGUGUCUGCCUUAUCAACUUUCGAUGGUAGGUUAUACGCCUACCAUGGUAGUAACGGGUAACGGAGAAUAAGGGUUCGACUCCGGAGAGGGAGCCUGAGAAACGGCUACCACAUCCAAGGAAGGCAGCAGGCGCGCAAAUUACCCACUUCCAGAACGGAGAGGUAGUGACGAAAAAUAACGAGACAGUCCUCUUCGAGGUCUGUCAUCGGAAUGGGUACAAUUUAAA
rnacentral:rRNA from 1 species